rnacentral:rRNA from 1 species
GAAUCCCGUCUUUGGCAUGGAUGCACCAGGGCUUCUGUGAUGCGCUCUCGAAGAGUCGAGUUGUUUGGGAAUGCAGCUCAAAAUGGGUGGUGAACUCCAUCUAAAGCUAAAUAUUGGCGAGAGACCGAUAGCGAACAAGUACCGUGAGGGAAAGAUGAAAAGCACUUUGGAAAGAGAGUGAAACAGUACGUGAAAUUGUUGAAAGGGAAACGCUUGAAGUCAGUCGCGUCGACCAAGACUCAGCCUCGCCUCGGCUUGGUGUAAUUCUUGGCCGACGGGUCAGCAUCAAUUUUGUCCUUUGGAUAAUGACGAGGGAAAGGUAGCACCUUUGCGGGUGUGUUAUAGUCUCUCGUCGGAUACGAGGGUCGGGAUUGAGGAACUCAGCAUGCGCCUUUUGGCGUCGGGGCUUCGGCCUACGUUUACGUGCUUAGGAUGCUGGCAUAAUGGCUUUAAACGACCCGUCUUGAAACACGGACCAAGGAGUCUAACAUGCCCGCGAGUGUUCGGGUGGAAAACCCGUGCGCGUAAUGAAAGUAAAAGUUGGGACCUCUGUCGCGGAGGGCACCGACGCCCGGACCAGAGCUUCUGCGACGGAUCUGCGGUGGAGCGUGUAUGUUAGGACCCGAAAGAUGGUGAACUAUGCCUGAAUAGGGUGAAGCCAGAGGAAACUCUGGUGGAGGCUCGUAGCGAUUCUGACGUGCAAAUCGAUCGUCAAAUUUGGGUAUAGGGGCGAAAGACUAAUCGAACCAUCUAGUAGCUGGUUC